GUGAACGCUGGCGGUAGGCCUAACCCAUGCCAGUCGAACGGCAGCACCGUAAGAGCUUGCUCUUACGGGUGGCGAGUGGCGGACGGGUGAGGAAUACAUCGGAAUCUACUUUUUCGUGGGGGAUAACGUAGGGAAACUUACGCUAAUACCGCAUACGACCUACGGGUGAAAGCCGGGGAUCUUCGGACCUUGCGCGAUUGAAUGAGCCGAUGUCGGAUUAGCUAGUUGGCGGGGUAAAGGCCCACCAAGGCGACGAUCCGUAGCUGGUCUGAGAGGAUGAUCAGCCACACUGGAACUGAGACACGGUCCAGACUCCUACGGGAGGCAGCAGUGGGGAAUAUUGGACAAUGGGCGCAAGCCUGAUCCAGCCAUACCGCGUGGGUGAAGAAGGCCUUCGGGUUGUAAAGCCCUUUUGUUGGGAAAGAAAAGCAGCAGGUUAAUACCCCGCUGUUCUGACGGUACCCAAAGAAUAAGCACCGGCUAACUUCGUG
rnacentral:rRNA from 1 species